UACGUAGGUGGCAAGCGUUGUCCGGAAUUAUUGGGCGUAAAGAGCUCGUAGGCGGCCUCGCAAGUCAGGCGUGAAACCUCCAGGCUCAACCUGGAGCCGCCGCCUGAUACUGCGAUGGCUAGAGUCCGGUAGGGGAUCACGGAAUUCCUGGUGUAGCGGUGAAAUGCGCAGAUAUCAGGAGGAACACCGGUGGCGAAGGCGGUGAUCUGGGCCGGUACUGACGCUGAGGAGCGAAAGCGUGGGGAGCGAACAGG
rnacentral:rRNA from 1 species